UCAUCUGAUCCAUUAAAGAAGAUGUCACAACAUUAGGACUACAGCUAAAAUCUACUCUGUGCUAUAUUCACCUAUUUAGAAGGUAAGCUCCUUGAGAGUAAUCUUGCUUUUCCAUUUGUACCUCCAGUGCUUAUAAAGUGCUUUGUACACAAUAAGGGAUUAAAUUGGGUUUUUUCCCCCCAAACUGUUAAUAUUGAUUCCAAGGCAGAAAGAAGAGCAGUAAGAGCUGGGGAACUGGGAUUAAGUGACCUGUCCAGGGUCACACAACUAGGAAGUAUCCGGAGCCAAAUUUGAACCCAGGACCUCUCCUUUCCAGGCCUGGCUCUAUCCACUAGGCCACCCACCUACCCCUAAUAAAUACUUUUUAAGUCUAUACAUAUAAUCAUUCUGUCUAGCUAAGACAAAAUCCAUAUCCAGGAAUACAUAGAAGUGGUUGUUUUUUUAAACCAUUAUAAUGAAUUUGUAAUCCAAGAACUUUAACAUUUAUUAGGCACACAUAGGGCUUUGCUAACAGGAAGCUCAAUUUGAUGGAGGUGAGGGAGUAGUGAUUAGGCAUAUUCAGGUUAACAGUACAAAAUAGCACAAGAUAAAUGCAUCACAAUGGCAUAAAACAACUUGUCAUAAGGUAUGAGAAAAGCAAGGGUUUUUCUAACUGCCUUGGGUGGGGAGAGUUCAUGAAUGAGGCUUCUCAGUUGGACUUUCAAGGGCAAGCUCAGGAUGAAGGAGUUUCAUUAACGCUCAAGACUUUUCAAACUGAGCAAGAGAAGCAAGGGUCACUCCAAAUGGAGACUGGGUAGGGGUGAAGCAGACUGAAGAACAGUUUGGAAGAGGCCAUUGUUAGCUGCCCUCCCUGAUAUUACUUCAUAAGGUUAAGGUCAGUUUCAACUUCCUCCACACCCCAUUUCCUUUAAUGAUCUACUGCAAAUUGAUCACAGGAAAACUUAGCUAAACUCAUCAAGAAUAUGUUUAUCUGUUUCCAAAUCGUAUCACUUCUUAAAGGAGAAAUUUCCAUUAGGUUUAUCAUCCAAUGUGUGAAGCCCAGUUUCAUGGGACCAUCAGGAUCCUUAACAAAGAGGAGAAAAGUCCCAGUUCCAUUCUGGCACAUCUGCUUCUUCUUUUCAGGUCAGGUCAAAGACUUAAGUGAUUGAAGUGCUUCACUGAACCAAGUGAAGAAGUGACAUCAGUUUCUACUACAGUCCCCUCCCCAGACCAAAGAAACUAGAGGACUCAGUUUAUGGCAGGUUUUUUUUUUGAGGGGAAGUGUUAGGGUUUUUACUCUCUCCCCCCCUUCCCUUUUUUAAGAAAAGCAAUCAUCCAGGCUCCUGUCCCCCCUUCCCCCAUAACUCCUAGUUUAAUCCUUUCACUUACCCUAUCUUUCCUUUACUUCCUUCCCCUUAUCUCACAGGAAGCUUCUCUGGGAGCAAUAUAAACAAGAGUAAUGCAACACAAUGGAGACAUUCAAAGAACAACACAUUUCUUUCCGGUUAAUCAGUUCAGACAGUGACUAUCUGACCCAAAUCAUCUACAAAUGGAAAUGGAGCAAAUGCCUGUUUCUUUCUUUUUUAUUUUAUGUUGGGGUUUUUUCAAAGUAACAUCUGUGUUCUUCUCUUCAUAAUUCCUAGGAUUUUUGUUUUGUUUGUUUUUAACAGAGGAAUAAAAAGGAUAAUGCUAUUGAUAGUUUACA
ensembl:lncRNA